AUGGUAGGAUUCAUGCGUUUUUUCUUAAUCAGUUAAUCUUUCAAGCUUUUAGUUUUUAUCAAGAAAUUUAAUUUGGGUUUCAUUUAUUUGUAAAACUAGACACUAUUUUGUGAAGAUUUUUCUUUAUAAUUCAGUAAUUAAUUGCUUCUUUAGCUGUAAAUUUGACUUUUGUAAAUUUCCAGGUUGUUCUAGACUUUGUCAAUACUGCACAGUUCUCUUUGCGGCCCAUUUCUAUUUCGUAUAGCAGAGCUUGAUAACAGGUGUGGGUGUGGACACCCAAUAUGACGUUUACGUGGUGUUGCUAUCUGGUUUCACAUAAUUAUACUGUGAACCGUCGAAAUUUUGGUUUAGCUGCAGAUAAAACAAAAUCAAAACGUUACAAAGUAGAGGAUACAUUGAUAAUAGAUUUCGUAUCAACUACCAUGCGUCCAACUACGUACCUUCUUCGUUUAAUGUAAAAUGGUCUGCAAUGACAUCGAUUGUAUCAAAAAUUUCGGUCACCCAAUUUAUGCUUUUCAUGUAAAAUUCUUUCAAAAAGUUCAAAUAUCUUUCAGUUUAAAUAACAUUAACGAUUUAUAACAAUCUCUUAUAGCCUUGAAACAUAUUUUUUUAAUACGGUUUCUAAUCCCGCAGCAACGCGCGGGUCAUAUUUCUAGUAUAUACUAAAAG